UAUCAUUGUUUUUUUCUGUUUGUCUUGUCAUGACAAGGCCCAAAUUCAGGCCCUGCCCAUCCUGUCAGGCUUCCAAUCAGGUAAGCAGAAAAACCUGCCAUGCCUGUUUUGGAAGCCUGUCCACAAAAAAGAAAUUAAAAGAAAAAAUUAUGACGUUGGAUGACCAGUGGGCGCAAGCUGUUCUUAAUAGCAGAAAUUUGAGUCGCAUAAUAGACUCUGCUUGCAUUGCCGUGCGGAAACUAGCAACUUUAGGAUGCAAUCCUAUUUUGUUUAUUGGUCGAAAGGAGAAAAGAAAAGAAAAGAAAAGAAAAGAAAAGAAAAGAAAAGAAAUGGGUAGCCGACAUUAUUACCCAUCUGCCCCCCACUCCUGUAACUAAGAAUUUAUUGGAAAAUAUGCAAAGAGCAUAUGAAUUUAUUUUAACAAAGACAGAGCAGCGUCCUGAGAGCCUCGCCCGGGAGCGUCCCGAGAGCCUCGCCCGGGAGCGUCCCGAGAGCCUCGCCCGGGAGCGUCCCGAGAGCCUCGCCCGGGAGCGUCCCGAGAGCCAAGUCCAGGAACUGUCACGGUAAUCCGUGUCAU